AUUGAACGCUGGCGGCAUGCCUUACACAUGCAAGUCGAACGGUAACAGGUCUUCGGAUGCUGACGAGUGGCGAACGGGUGAGUAAUACAUCGGAACGUGCCCGAGAGUGGGGGAUAACGAGGCGAAAGCUUUGCUAAUACCGCAUACGAUCUCAGGAUGAAAGCAGGGGACCGCAAGGCCUUGCGCUCACGGAGCGGCCGAUGGCAGAUUAGGUAGUUGGUGGGAUAAAAGCUUACCAAGCCGACGAUCUGUAGCUGGUCUGAGAGGACGAUCAGCCACACUGGGACUGAGACACGGCCCAGACUCCUACGGGAGGCAGCAGUGGGGAAGUUUGGACAAUGGGCGCAAGCCUGAUCCAGCCAUGCCGCGUGCAGGAUGAAGGCCUUCGGGUUGUAAACUGCUUUUGUACGGAACGAAAAGACUCUGGUUAAUACCUGGGGUCCAUGACGGUACCGUAAGAAUAAGCACCGGCUAACUACGUGCCAGCCGCCGCCGUAA
rnacentral:rRNA from 1 species